CCUGUUCAAAAUAGUAACUAAAGAUAAGAGAACCAGACUGGUAGCAUAAGAUAUAGCCAACAUAUAGGAUGAACUGACAUCACAACUACUUUCCUUCGAGAAUAUGUAGUUCAAUUUGCAACCAAGAUGGUGCAUUUACCCUGGCUACAAGGCUACAACUUGAAGAGAACUUGCAAAGAUUGAAACGUCCCUGUAUGAAAUUGACCACUGUGUCCAGCACA